GACGAACGCUGGCGGCGUGCUUAACACAUGCAAGUCGAACGGAAAGGCCUGCCUUCCCUUGUGGAUUGCGGGUACUCGAGUGGCGAACGGGUGAGUAACACGUGAGUGAUCUGCCCCCAACUUGGGUAUAAGCCUGGGAAACUGGGUCUAAUUCCCGAUAGGACUGCAGGGUGGUGCCUGUGGUGGAAAACGAUUUUCUAGUGGUUGGGGAUGAGCUCGCGGCCUAUCAGCUUGUUGGUGGGGUAAUGGCCUACCAAGGCGGCGACGGGUAGCCGGCCUGAGAGGGUGGACGGCGACAUUGGGACUGAGAUACGGCCCAGACGCCUACGGGAGGCAGCAGUGGGGAAUAUUGCACAAUGGGCGGAAGCCUGAUGCAGCGACGCCGCGUGGGGGAUGACGGCCUUCGGGUUGUAAACUCCUUUCGACCGCGAGGAAGCCACCUGGUUGGAAGGGUGGUGACGGUAGUGGUAGAAGAAGCACCGGCUAACUACGUG
rnacentral:rRNA from 1 species